rnacentral:lncRNA from 1 species
CGAGGUGGGUGGCCUAGGAGUUGGAGACCAGCCUGGGCAACAUGGAGAAACCCCGUCUCUACUAAAAAUACAAGAAAUUAGCCAGGUGUGGAGGCACGUGCCUAUAGCUCCAGUAUUUGGGGGACUGAGGCAGGAGGAUCACUUGAACCUGGGAGGUCAAGGCUGCAGUGAGCCGAGAUUACGCCACUGCACUCCAGCCUGGGUGACAAAGUGAGGCCUUGUCUUGAUUAAAAAAAAAAAAAAAAAAAUCCAUACACCUUCACUCUACUUUAGAAGCAGUCAUAUUGAAAAAAGGAGAAUGAUCUCUGAAUGAAAUACCACAUUUCCUCCUUUAUCAAUUUAAUAAGUUUUGAGGAAAAAAGAUGCCAUUAUUUAAAUGUACAGAUGAAUUGUAAGAUGCAAGCAAAUUUCAGAACUAUCAGAAUGUGAGAAGUUAUUCAUCAUAGAAUUAAGAAAUAUGAGCUCUCAAUUCUCUUUAAAUACAGUGCUAAGAGAUUGUGACAUUGUUUUUUCUUUUUAAUUUUUAUUUGUGUAUUGACAUUAUUUUUUAAUUAUUUAGGGUGUGCU